rnacentral:rRNA from 1 species
UGGGGAAUAUUGCACAAUGGGCGAAAGCCUGAUGCAGCGACGCCGCGUGAGGGAUGACGGCCUUCGGGUUGUAAACCUCUUUCAGCAGGGACGAAGCGCAAGUGACGGUACCUGCAGAAGAAGCACCGGCUACUACGUGCCAGCAGCCGCGGUAAUACGUAGGGUGCAAGCGUUGUCCGGAAUUACUGGGCGUAAAGAGUUCGUAGGCGGUUUGUCGCGUCGUUUGUGAAAACCAGCAGCUCAACUGCUGGCUUGCAGGCGAUACGGGCAGACUUGAGUACUGCAGGGGAGACUGGAAUUCCUGGUGUAGCGGUGAAAUGCGCAGAUAUCAGGAGGAACACCGGUGGCGAAGGCGGGUCUCUGGGCAGUAACUGACGCUGAGGAACGAAAGCGUGGGUAGCGAACAGG